AUCGAACGCUGGCGGAAUGCUUUACACAUGCAAGUCGAACGGCAGCACGGACUUCGGUCUGGUGGCGAGUGGCGAACGGGUGAGUAAUGUAUCGGAACGUGCCCAGUCGUGGGGGAUAACGUAGUGAAAAUUACGCUAAUACCGCAUACGAUCUAUGGAUGAAAGCGGGGGAUCGCAAGACCUCGCGCGAUUGGAGCGGCCGAUAUCAGAUUAGGUAGUUGGUGGGGUAAAGGCCCACCAAGCCAACGAUCUGUAGCUGGGCUGAGAGGACGACCAGCCACACUGGAACUGAGACACGGUCCAGACUCCUACGGGAGGCAGCAGUGGGGAAUUUUGGACAAUGGGCGAAAGCCUGAUCCAGCCAUUCCGCGCGCAGGAUGAAGGCCCUCGGGUUGUAAACUGCUUUUGUACAGAACGAAAAGGUUUCUACUAAUACUAGGAGCUCAUGACGGUACUGUAAGAAUAAGCACCGGCUAACUACGUGCCAGCCGCCGCGGUAAAAC
rnacentral:rRNA from 1 species